UACAGAGGAGCCAAGCGUUGUCCGGAUUGACUGGGCGUAAAGCGCACGCAGGCGGUCGUGCGCGUGGGGUGUGAAAUCUGGCCGCUUAACGGCCAGGCGCCAUCCCAUACGGCACGACUGGAGGGCUGCAGAGGUCGAUGGAAUUGCCGGUGUAGUGGUGAAAUGCGUAGAGAUCGGCAGGAACACCCAGGGGGAAACCAGUCGACUGGGCAGCACCUGACGCUGAGGAGCGAAAGCGUGGGGAGCGAACAGG
rnacentral:rRNA from 1 species